GAGGGUGUAGCUCAGUGGUAGAGUGCUUGCCUAGCAUGCAUGAGGUCCUGGGUUCAAUCCCCAGUGCCUACA
rnacentral:tRNA from 1 species